CACUUCCAAACCUUCAAGAUUCUUCAUAAAAGUCUCUCUUUUCCUCUUCUAAAAUCCUCUCAAAAUGCCUCUCUCUCCCUAAAUUCGAGAUUCCCAAAUAUACUCAAAGAAAUAACCAUAUAAUCUCUCAAAACUCAGCUCCAAAGCAAUCCAAUACCACCCAUGUCAAGCCCAAAGACUUCCAAGCCAAAACUCCAUGGAUCCUUGGUUUCUUCUCCUUCUUAGCCUUUGAUUUUCAUGGGUUCUCGAAGUAAUCAGAGUGCGCAGCGGAGCGGAGUUCGAGGAAUCACGAACCUUGAUGCCUUGCACGUCUUACCCGGAUUUCGUAAAAAGGAUCCAUGGUUUCACUUUCGUCUAUAAAAAGGGUCUUAUGUAAAAAUGGAGAUUUUUAUUUUACUCUGAUUUAGGAAUCCAGUCUAUUAAACGGGGGUAUUUUAAAUCAAGUUUAUUUUCCUUCCGCUGUCUUACAAGUUUUCUUUUCAAGCCCCGAUGAUGUUUAGGUAGCACUCUUUAUGAAAAUCGUAACUUUGAUUUGUGGGUUAUAUUUUAAGCAAAGAGAAAUACUUUUAAAGUU